GUGAGUCAUCGAAUCUUUGAACGCACAUUGCGCCCUUUGGUAUUCCGAAGGGCAUGCCUGUUCGAGCGUCAUUAUCACCCCUCGGGCCCUGUGCUCGGUGUUGGACGGCCGGUUCGGGCGACCGAACCCCUCCUAAAGACAAUGACGGCGGCCUGUGGUUCCCCCGGUACACUGAGCUUUUUACGAGGCACGUGCCGGACGAGGGCGCCCAGGACCCGGUCCUCUCCUCUCAGCAGGAAACUUCUCAUGGUUGACCUCGGAUCAGGUAGGAAUACGCGCUGAACUUAAGCAUAUCAAUAAGCGGAGGA
rnacentral:misc_RNA from 1 species